rnacentral:rRNA from 1 species
AACGAACGCUGGCGGCAGGCCUCAAACAUGCAAGUCUAGGGGGUAGCAAUACCACCGGCGGACGGGUGCGUAACGCGUGGGAACAUACCUUUCGGUACGGAACAACUGCGGGAAACUGCAGCUAAUACCGUAUACGCCCUUACGUGGAAAGAUUUAUCGCAGAAGGAGUGGCCCGCGUUCGAUUAGCUAGUUGGUGGGGUAAAAGCUAACCAAGGCUACGAUAGAUAGCUGUUUUGAGAGGAAGAUCAGCCACACUGGGCCUGAGACACGGCCAAGACUCCGACGGGAGGCAGCAGUUGGGAAUCUUGGAAAAUGGGGGAAACCCUGAUCCAGCCAUGCCGCGUGAGUGAUGAAGGCCUUCGGGUUGUAAAACUCUUUCGACGGGGACGAUAAUGACGGUACCCGUAGAAGAAGCUCCGGCUAACUUCGUGCCAGCAGCCGCCGUAA